GUUAGGUGUGGUGGUGCUCGCCUGUUGUCUCACCUAUUCAGGAGGCUGAGGCGGGAGGAUCACUUGUGCCCAGUUCUGGGCUUUGGUGCCCUAUGCUGAUGGGGUGUCUGCACUAACUUGAGCAUCAGUAUGGUGACCUCCUUGAAGCCAGGUUGCCUAAGGAGGGUUAAACCAGCUCAGGUUGCAAACAGAGCAGGUCAAAACUCCAGUGCUGAUCAGCAGGGGGGUAAAUAGCCACUGUGCUCCAGCCUGGGCAAGGGCAAGAACCUGUCUCUA
ensembl:misc_RNA Metazoa_SRP Metazoan signal recognition particle RNA